GCGGCGUGCUUAACACAUGCAAGUCGAACGAUGAACCACUUCGGUGGGGAUUAGUGGCGAACGGGUGAGUAACACGUGGGCAAUCUGCCCUGCACUCUGGGACAAGCCCUGGAAACGGGGUCUAAUACCGGAUACUGACCCGCUUGGGCAUCCAAGCGGUUCGAAAGCUCCGGCGGUGCAGGAUGAGCCCGCGGCCUAUCAGCUUGUUGGUGAGGUAAUGGCUCACCAAGGCGACGACGGGUAGCCGGCCUGAGAGGGCGACCGGCCACACUGGGACUGAGACACGGCCCAGACUCCUACGGGAGGCAGCAGUGGGGAAUAUUGCACAAUGGGCGAAAGCCUGAUGCAGCGACGCCGCGUGAGGGAUGACGGCCUUCGGGUUGUAAACCUCUUUCAGCAGGGAAGAAGCGAAAGUGACGGUACCUGCAGAAGAAGCGCCGGCUAACUACGUGCCAGCAGCCGCGGUAAUACGUAGGGCGCGAGCGUUGUCCGGAAUUAUUGGGCGUAAAGAGCUCGUAGGCGGCUUGUCACGUCGGUUGUGAAAGCCCGGGGCUUAACCCCGGGUCUGCAGUCGAUACGGGCAGGCUAGAGUUCGGUAGGGGAGAUCGGAAUUCCUGGUGUAGCGGUGAAAUGCGCAGAUAUCAGGAGGAACACCGGUGGCGAAGGCGGAUCUCUGGGCCGAUACUGACGCUGAGGAGCGAAAGCGUGGGGAGCGAACAGGAUUAGAUACCCUGGUAGUCCACGCCGUAAACGGUGGGCACUAGGUGUGGGCGACAUUCCACGUCGUCCGUGCCGCAGCUAACGCAUUAAGUGCCCCGCCUGGGGAGUACGGCCGCAAGGCUAAAACUCAAAGGAAUUGAC
rnacentral:rRNA from 1 species